UAAAUUUAAAAUGGAGUUUAAAACAUAAAAGUUUAUUUAAAAUGCACUGUUUAGGGGUCAUCCAUAAAGUUUGUAUGCUUUUAUCUUUACCCUAACCCCUCCUCCCCUCCUGCAUUUUGCUAUAUGCUUUUUGAGUAGCCUCCACCUCCCUAUAAGUACCUACACAACCUAAUUACCCAAGAUUUUUUAAUUUUUUUUAAUUUAUUGUCUCCUUACUUUUGUAACUGGCCUCCUGCCCCCUAUCUCAUAUAUGCCAUUUGCAAACCCUCUCUCCCCCAUCCAAGUACACCUACUUUAUGGAUGAUUGCUUAUUAAAUUGUUUGUUUGUUUUUAAUUAUUGUUCAUACAGUUUUGAGAAACUUACUAAGAAAUUUCUUAAACUAAAAAUAGUAUAUCUAAAUGUUGGUUUUAAUUAAUGCUAAUUUAUUCAUCUACUUAAUAGUUUUCUGUAAUGGUAUCAUUAAAAAAACAAUUUUGUAGGUGUAUACCAACAUGAUGCUAAUUUUUUCUCCUAAAAUCUGUCAUUUAGGAAUACUGCAAGGCAAUUUUAGACCAGUUUCCUUAUUUUUUAUUUCAUUUGUGUUUUCUAAUGAACAAGAAAAAGAAUAUGUUUUUGGUUUAAGACCCAAUGCAAAUAACAUUUUCAAAACUAAUAUACUUGUUGUAAGACUAUCAGUUAUACACGCAAAUUAAAAUAACUGUAUUUUAAAUUUUUUUGUUGCUUUUUUUAUUUUAUAUUUUUAUAGAAUAAAUAUUAGAAUAAAAAGUUACACAGUAUCAUUAAAUCAACUAAACAAUGUUGUUUAUAAAAACUCUUUAUCAGGUUUAUUGCGUGCUGUGGUCCUAUAAUGAGCAACUUUCAAUUUUAAAAAAGUAAACAGUGGUAUGUGAUCAUCAUUUUAAAGUUUGUUCUACUGCACCCCUGAUAAUAUUCUGGACAAGAAGCCUAAUAAAGGUUCAAGCAGUUUACAGUCUGAGAAAAAGAACCAAUGAUGAUAUCCAAAGUUUUGCAUGGCGUCACAUCCUGAAGGAGGCCGAGCUCCAGAUAUUGUUUUAUUCGGAAAACCAAUCAGCCAGAUGUUGCCUUGACUUUUAGUAGACUUACAAAAGAUUUCUUGUACGCUUACAAAUGUUUCCAAUUGAUGCGGAGGCUUAGCUUAAAUUCGAUAGAAUAAUUCUAAAUACUGUUGGUCGAAAUCUCAUCACGAUUCCGGUCUUUUUAAAUAACAAAGUUUUUUAUGCUGCAAUGAUUUUAUGUAAUCGCUAGAUUCCUGAUAUUGACGGUUUACAAGGCCCAAUCCUGUGUUUGCAUGUCAAUGUAAUAGUGAUCCAUUUUUAAAAAACUAUAAAACAUUGGAUAACUCUUGCUAACCAGCAUUGCAAAGAUGGUAAAAUUAACAUUUAUUGUCGUUUACAAUUAGUUCUUAAAAUAAAAUGUAAAAUUUCGAAUUCAAAAUUUGAGCGUAUACAAAGUGCAGUUAUGGAGUUCAAUAUUAACAAUGUAUCCCGCCAAAAAGACUUUCUAUGUGGAUUUUACGCAAUUGCAAAUGAAACUUAUUAAUUUUAUUAAGCAAUUGUAAAUGAUACUUAUUAAGUUUAUUACGCAAUUGCAAAUGAAACUUAUUAAGUUUAUUACGCAAUUGCAAAUGAAACUUAUUAAGUUUAUUA
rnacentral:lncRNA from 1 species